CAGUGUGGUAGGCUUGCCCCGGAAUCCGCUCGAAAGGCGAGAGUCGCUCGCAGAACUACAGACUGCUUGGUGCCGCGAGAGCCUAGGAAAACAGCUUUGCUAUCUACAGAAACCAAGAUUCUGUCCUCCAAGGAACCCUGAAUGUUUCUUCCAGACCGAUUGGGAAGUGUACAUCAAGUUCAGUGCUUUUACAAAUGUCUUCACUAUUAUUCGGCUUAAAUAUGCACUUAAGGCACUUAAGAGAGAGAGAUGAUCCUCUGAGCCUGGUGAGGCGAUGUACUUGGGUACACCCUGGAGAAUAUCCACUAGGGAUGGAGGUGGGCACCUGGUGAGCACAGGUGCUAAGAACAAUCCUCGCCAACAACCAGUAGUAAGAAAGCAGACUUCAAGACUAAGCUUAGGUUGACUUUCUCACAAAGUUUCCAGACAAGACUUGUCCCUGGCUGAUGCUACAGGCUUGGGAUGCCCUGAGCCAAGAAGCCAUUUAUGCGUUUCUGAGCUGCACUCUCUGCUUCCGAACUGUGGACCACCAAAUAAGCUUUUGAGUUUGUUUAAAUUUCUCUUGCAGUAGUAGAAACAAUAAAGAGGCAACUAGAGACAGGCAGAACAAUUCCACAACUUCAGUAAAAAGUUAUAAAGUUGCAAAGUGGGCAACACAAGAUAUCUCAAGCAUCCUUCUAAUUUUACCUGGUUCUGACACUAAAAUAUGUGUUAAUCUGGAGGGCCAAGUCGCCCUUCCUGAAGGGCCACAGAUGCAGGGUGCAGUUCUGCAUCUGGUUGCUUACUGACGAGUUAACAGCUUGUCCAUAAAUCAAAGCCCAAAUCUGAUCCAGAAAGUGUUCCACUUGAACCUCAGUUUCCCUAGAUGACUGGGAAAGCGGCCUUUGCUUAAAUAAAAGCAUCAACCUUCAUCAAGCCUCCACCACCCCAGGCUGGUCCUGGGGUGCAGCCCAAGUAUUCCAGUCCUAAGGCAGGAACCCUUCUGAGCUCCUACCAGGUAUUUGUGUUGUAAGUGGGUGGAGGAACUC
rnacentral:lncRNA from 1 species